AAAUAGCUGCUAUUUGUAAAGGAACUGUUUUCCUUCUGGCAAUGGCUACUGUGGCACAAAUUUAAACCAGAGACUUUUUUUUUACACAUGCGCAAGGGGCGGUCUUGUUUUUUUGCAAAAAUUGGAGGAGCAGAUUCCUUGCCGAUCUCAGAGAGAGAGGUGCUACUCCUUGACCUUCUUCCCUCCCAAGAGUUUCCUGGGGAUUCCCCAAAGCCAAGAUGAGAGUCUUCAUCUGUCUGAGCAUCUUCUCUUUCAUGUUGGCUACAUGUCAAGAAAAGUGUUUUUCGGAGCCCCUGAGUACACCGCUUAAAGAUGGUAAAGGGGUGAAGCCAAACACCUGCGUUGAUCGAUAUGAUGGGAAAACCCAUCCCAUUAGGUCCAGCUGGAGUACAGCCGAUUGCUUCGUUUGUAAGUGCAGUCCA